CGGGUUUAUUUUUUUCUCACGUCGCGCCCCCCCUGAAGAACUCUGGCGCCCCCCACAGUUUGAAAACCACUGGCCUAGUGUGAGUGCAUUUGAGAGCAAACCCGCCGUGGUGAUGUUUGGCUUGUUGUGGGCUGUCUGUCAGCAUCCGCUGGGGUUAACUGGCUCCAAAUGGCCGGGGAUGCUAGAUUGGAAGUGAAGGGCGUGCUCCUGGGCGAGAGCUAGACGGGGAGAGUGGGUGCGAAAGAGAGAAAAAGCGGCCCUAAUGCGGCAUCUCAUUACAACCUCUGUCAGGAUCCCUGUAUUCCACCAUCAGCUCCCCUUUAACUUGGUCCUGCUCUGGUGUCGGUCGACAGGUCGUCCUGGCAGGUUCGGUGGCCUUCUGCUUCCUUCUCCCAGGGUUCUGCCAAUAACUUCUACUUUGAAUGGUCCAGCGUAGCUUUUGAUUUAUCAUCCACUCUCUGCAUCCCUGGCUGCAACCAGACUGUCCGCACAAGCUAGAUGAGGCCCCCUGUGCCAUGUUUGUGCAAGAGGAACCACUUUAUAUGCAGACGGACUCUAGAGGCAGUAAGUGGGGUUCAGCCUUUGUGGCUGAAGACUGUUUUAUUUUAUUGCGCACAGAUUCCUGAUUACCUCACUGUCACAUGGUUCAGCUGCAGGGCAACAAUAAAGGACCAUCUUGCCGCAUCAUGUUAACCUGACCUUGGUGUCCUCAAAGGAAACGUCUAUUCCAGGGCCCAACAGUGAUAUCACUAGAUGCGGUACUGGCAGUGUCUAGCCCUCUUCAGUGAAAGCGGAGAACCCACUGCCUGUCUAGCGUAACAUAACUGUGUGCCCUGAUAUGUUACCCAAUGCAAAGCUGUUUGCAAUUAUACAGAAUGCUCCAACAUUACGUGACAGUCACUCUGAUCUGUGUACAGCAGAGGGAACUUUAAUUUAUUUUAAGAACCAAUUGCUCUUAUUCACAUGUGUAGUGUUGUUUUGUUAUACCUAAUCACUUUUAGUCUAAUGUCGAAUUUGUGUCCUUUGAUUAUGUACUUUGCAUUAUAAUUAGUCAAUUUCUUUAGAUAGAAAAUGAGAUUCACCUCUGUGGACGCUGAUUAUAUUGACACAUCAAUACUAAUACAAACAAUAUUCGAUACCAAGAGAUUUUCAAAAGGGCUGGCCUAUCCUAUUCUUGUGUGUAAUUAAAAAAAAUAAAUAAGUUGAACCUGAAUUCUGUUACUGGAGCCGACCUCUCUACGUUCUGUAUUAGCCACGCUUAAUCAUGGAUAAUAAAAAAUAAACGACUGUAGAUUGUUCAUUUACAG
ensembl:lncRNA